UACGGAGGAUCCAAGCGUUAUCCGGAUUUAUUGGGUUUAAAGGGUGCGUAGGCGGCUUAUUAAGUCAGGGGUGAAAGACGGUGGCUCAACCAUCGCAGUGCCUUUGAUACCGAUGAGCUUGAAUACACUAGAGGUAGGCGGAAUGUGACAAGUAGCGGUGAAAUGCAUAGAUAUGUCACAGAACACCGAUUGCGAAGGCAGCUUACUAUGGUGUGGUUGACGCUGAGGCACGAAAGCGUGGGGAUCAAACAGG
rnacentral:rRNA from 1 species